CGCGGCGUGGAGCAGUGGUAGCUCGUCGGGCUCAUAACCCGAAGGUCGCAGGUUCGAGUCCUGCCGCCGCUACCA
rnacentral:tRNA from 1 species